rnacentral:lncRNA from 10 species
CGAAACUCCAUCUAAAACAAAAAAAUUAAGUGAUUGAUUCUGGAGAAAGAAAUUGGGUAACUCAGUGGCAGGGUUGAAGGAAAUUUUUGGUAGCACACACCUGUAAUCCCAGCUACUUGGGUGGCUGAGGCACAAGAAUUGCUUGAACCCAGGAAGCGGAGGUUGCAGUGAGCCAAAAUCAUGCCACUGCACUCCGGCCUAGGUGGCAGAACAAGACUCUUAUCUCCAAAAAAAAAAAAAGUUCCUUUCAGAGUCGGAAGAACAAAUAGCUGAACACAGCCACAGCCACAGCCACAGGUUAUCUCCCCUGGAUGUCAGCUUUUGUAUUUCUCCUCUGUUAUUUCAUCCUGGCUGUCUAGGCCUUAACCAUCUUUGUUCUAGCUAAAGCUGUGACUGGAUCUUUGUUUUAUCACCUUUCCUGGAUGUGCAAAUCCAGUAUUUCUACCCAGGUCUGUGAAACUUCAAAGCCUGUGCUCCUGAACAUAUUAUGCUUCCAUUUGCUCUAUCACUAAUGAAAGAUGAGCUUAAGUCUUCCGUUGAUUACAGAUUUGUCCGUUUCUCCCUUGAGAUCUGUCAAUGUCUGCUUUAUGUAUUUUGAGGCUGUUAUUAGAUGCAUACAAAUUUAGAACUGUUAUAUUUUUCAUCAUUACACGUCCCUCUUAAUCUCUGAUUCUUACUUUAACCCUUUUCCUGUUUGCCCUGAGAAUACUCGCCAGUGAUGCUUGCAACUGCAGCACUUACCCCAAGAAGGUGACAAUGCUGUCAACAUUCCAC